rnacentral:rRNA from 1 species
UACGGAGGGGGCUAGCGUUGUUCGGAAUCACUGGGCGUAAAGGGUGCGUAGGCGGGUCUUUAAGUCAGGGGUGAAAUCCUGGAGCUCAACUCCAGAACUGCCUUUGAUACUGAAGAUCUUGAGUUCGGGAGAGGUGAGUGGAACUGCGAGUGUAGAGGUGAAAUUCGUAGAUAUUCGCAAGAACACCAGUGGCGAAGGCGGCUCACUGGCCCGAUACUGACGCUGAGGCACGAAAGCGUGGGGAGCAAACAGG